rnacentral:rRNA from 1 species
GGACUACCCGGGUUUCUAAUCCCGUUCGCUCCCCACGCUUUCGCUCCUCAGCGUCAGGAGUAAGCCAGAAAGUCGCCUUCGCCACUGGUAUUCCUCCCGAUAUCUACGCAUUUCACCGCUACACCGGGAAUUCUACUUUCCUCUCUUACCCUCAAGAAGCGCCGUAUCCGAGAAAGCCCCAAAGUUGAGCCUUGAGAUUUCCUCUCGGACGCACGCUCCCGCCUACGAGCUCUUUACGCCCAGUAAUUCCGGACAACGCUUGCUCCCUACGUCUUACCGCGGCUGCUGGCAC